rnacentral:rRNA from 1 species
UGAGGAAUAUUGGUCAAUGGGCGAGAGCCUGAACCAGCCAAGUAGCGUGCAGGAUGACGGCCCUAUGGGUUGUAAACUGCUUUUAUAUGGGAAUAAAGUGAGGGACGUGUCCCUUAUUGCAUGUACCAUACGAAUAAGGACCGGCUAAUUCCGUGCCAGCAGCCGCGGUAAUACGGAAGGUCCAGGCGUUAUCCGGAUUUAUUGGGUUUAAAGGGAGCGUAGGCUGGAGAUUAAGUGUGUUGUGAAAUGUAGACGCUCAACGUCUGAAUUGCAGCGCAUACUGGUUUCCUUGAGUACGCACAACGUUGGCGGAAUUCGUCGUGUAGCGGUGAAAUGCUUAGAUAUGACGAAGAACUCCGAUUGCGAAGGCAGCUGACGGGAGCGCAACUGACGCUUAAGCUCGAAGGUGCGGGUAUCAAACAGG